rnacentral:rRNA from 1 species
UACGGAGGGUGCAAGCGUUGUUCGGAUUUAUUGGGCGUAAAGGGCGUGUAGGCGGUUUGCUAAGUCUGAUGUGAAAGCCCCGGGCUCAACCUGGGAAGUGCAUUGGAAACUGGCAGACUUGAGUACGGGAGAGGGCAGUGGAAUUCCCAGUGUAGGAGUGAAAUCCGUAGAUAUUGGGAGGAACACCGGUGGCGAAGGCGGCUGCCUGGACCGAUACUGACGCUGAGACGCGAAAGCGUGGGGAGCAAAC